AAAAUAAAAUUCUUCCCUUUACAAAAAUACCCAAAAAAAUAUAUAUAGCAGUAAAAAUUCCAACAUCGCGCCGCGCAACUUCAUUUUUUUUUCAAGUGUUUUUAGAAUUUUUUUUUCAAUAUAAAAUAUUGCAAGUGAAAGCAGCAGCAACUAUUUUUGAUUUUAGCAAAUGUGCUGUUUCUGAAAAAGUGUUUAUGACAAAGUGCUAGAAAACCGGAAGGACCAUACAUAAUAUGAAAAAAAUUACACGAUUUUCGUAUUUUGUGUUUGUUGAGGAUCACUUAAGUGCCCCAAAAGGACAUGUGUUUUUCCAAGGAAUUUAAUCAUGCGUAGCCAAGUUGAAAGUCUUGAGAGGGAAACUAGUGAUAUUGCGUUUUCCAAGGACACCUAAAGCUAUUCAAAGGAUAUUGUUUAUCAUUUCGAAAAUUCAUAAUGUUUCAUGUUUCAUUUGAACACCAUUUUAUGUUUGAAUUUGUGUGCUUUUAAUUCUUAUUUACAAGUGUUGCCAAGUUCUAAUAAAAACAUUUAGAAAUCACGAUAGGAAAGAUUCAAAUAUCCAGUGUUUUGAAGGAAUGAAACUAUGUUUUUUAGAAUAUAGUUGCAGUUAUAAAGAAUGUCAAUUCCGAAUUAAAUGCAUAAAUAUUUUAGUCAAAUUUUUGGUUGCUAGGUAGUGGCUAUUUAUUCCAACAGGCCCUCAAAAAAAUAUGUAACUAAUAUUGUAAUGUGCCUGAAUUUGUGAAUUGAUUAUCAAGUGCAAAAAAAAAGAAACUCAAAAAAAAAAAACUGCAGCUUAGGCGUCAGAUUAGAAAUUGCCGACGGAAUAUCGCAGAGCUCUGUUGAAAAUAUUUUGAGCGGAAUUUGUUGUGCCUAUUAGAACCCUAAAUAUUGUAUAAAGUUCUGAUAUUUCAAUCAUUACUUCAAAAGCUUGUUUGUUUUGUUUUUUAAUGUCAAUUUGGCAAUUGUAUUGUAUUAUUUAAAGUUUCAAUAUUUCCAUACUUCAAUUUUUAAUGUGUUUUUAUCAUACUCAACUAAAACUAUUUAGGUUUUAGUGUGGGCAUUAAAAUUACAAUUUUAAAUUUUAAAGUUGGUAUGAAAAUUAAAUAGAACGAAUUGCUACAUUUUUCAUGUGCUUUACUACUUCUUGGCAUGCAUCUUCACUUUUUAAACAAGUGAAUUAAAAAAAUCAUUUAAAAUUAAUAAGCUUACAACAUUUUUGUUGGAAAAUGUAUUAAAACUUAACAGAUUUAUUAAAGCGUAUUUAUUGAAUUUAAUAAAAAAAUUUAAAAUAAUAGUUUCGAACCAAUUUUUAUUUUUUAAUUUAUCAGUUUUCAAUAUUUUUAUUGCAAAACAAAACAAAGCCGAUCAGAUUUGAUUAUGCAUCCCAUUUUAAGAUUGAUAAAAAUGAUAGUUUCCAUUUUAUUUGAGUUUGUAGACAUUGGUCAUUUGAGGACAUAGAAGACAUUAAAAAUAAUGCACAUUCAACUAGAGUUCUUGUCCUGCGUUUUAAAUUUUUAGACCUUUCUUUGUCCUGUUAGUUGAACCCCAAAAACUUUUUGGGAAACAUAUGGCAGACGGUUGUGUGAGUGUGUGUGUGUGUUUCUGAAUGAUAUGUUGCUGCACUCGCACAGAUUACGCAUACGCUGCGUUGUCCACUGCGAAGAGAGCGCGCGAGAAGAGAGAGCGCCGCGCCGUGCACUUUCUGCGAUUGAGUGAAAGAGAAAAGUGACUCGGUGGAAAACGAGGUGCAUUUUGGCUCAGCUUUGCUGCGUUUUUCACCGACGCUGCUCUUUUACGAAGCGCGUGCGGCGCUCUUAGUACAAGCGCACACCACUCACACUCACACACAUACACACACAUACGUAUGGACUACGAUAUGCAGGGGCACCCACACAUAGGCGAACGGGAAUCACUCGGCAAUACGAAGCAACGCAGUCGCAGCGCUGCCGCCGCGCUGCCGACGCCAAUGCUCUUUGGGUUUUGGGCUUUUGGCCAGGCUUUUUGGUUUUGCAGCUCUGUCGGCUUUGGACUUUCGCAGAGAUUUCACACGCGAUGCGAUUGCAGUUCUUGCAGACACUUUCAUACGUUCGUUCGUGUUUAUUUUCGUUAGCCUUAGCCGCAAACAGCAGAUAAAUUAAAUUUUGCAAAGCGACAAAAUAUUCAAAUAUCUUACGAAUAUUUGUACGGAAAAUAAUUAGGAUUCUUUAUCGUUUAUUUCUUUUUUUUUUUUGGUUUUUUGUGCGCGGGUUUUGGAAACACGAAUUUCGAAUAAUAGGCAUAAACUUAAACACAACAAAAAUGUUUUAUAAAUAUAUUAUUAUAAAAUAAAAAAUUACAAAUAAAUGAAGUAACAGCGAAAGUUUUUAACAAAGUCAACAACAGCAACACAAAAGAAGCAAGAAAAUCCUUAAGCGUAAUUUUUUUGUAUUUCAACAAUGCAACAACCACAACAACAACAGCAACAACUACAUCUACAACAGGGGCAACAACUGCAGCAGCAACAACAACCGCAAGAACAACAACAGCAACAACAACCACAACAACCAAAUGAAACAACAACUCAAGGCGGCUUUUCACGUGUGUGUGUGUGAACAACAACAACAAAAGCGACAAGCUAAAAACUUUAGAAAAACUUACAACUUUUUUGGACUUGGAGCAUUUUUCGAAAUCUAAACAGCCUAAAGUAAAUACCGAAAAAUAUCCCGCAAUUAUUUUGUGUUUUUUCCCCAUCUCAAAAACUACAAUUUCAUUUCAAAUAGAAAAACGCAAACAACUUAAACAAAAAACAUGCUCUAAGGUUGUGUUAAAGGAAAGGUUUCCUAUUUUGCACCUUAAUUCUUUGAUUUCAACAAAAUUACAACAAUUUUUUCCAAGUGAAAAAUUUGUGCGAACCGCAGAAAG